rnacentral:rRNA from 1 species
GACAGAGGGGGCAAGCGUUGCUCGGAAUUACUGGGCGUAAAGGGCGCGUAGGCGGCCAGCGCAAGUCAGUUGUGAAAUCUCCGGGCUUAACUCGGAACGGUCAACUGAUACUGCGCGGCUAGAGUGCAGAAGGGGCAACUGGAAUUCUCGGUGUAGCGGUGAAAUGCGUAGAUAUCGAGAGGAACACCUGCGGCGAAGGCGGGUUGCUGGGCUGACACUGACGCUGAUGCGCGAAAGCCAGGGGAGCGAACGGG